rnacentral:miRNA from 1 species
CCCGCAGGUGAGAUGAGGGCU